UACGGGGGGGGCAAGCGUUGUUCGGAAUUACUGGGCGUAAAGAGCUCGUAGGCGGCCAACUAAGUCGGAUGUGAAAUCCCCAGGCUUAACCUGGGAACUGCAUCCGAUACUGGAUGGCUUGAAUCCGGGAGAGGGAUGCGGAAUUCCAGGUGUAGCGGUGAAAUGCGUAGAUAUCUGGAGGAACACCGGUGGCGAAGGCGGCAUCCUGGACCGGCAUUGACGCUGAGGAGCGAAAGCCAGGGGAGCAAACGGG
rnacentral:rRNA from 1 species